rnacentral:tRNA from 1 species
GAUCCAUUAGCUCAGCUGGCAGAGCACCUGACUUUUAAUCAGGGUGUCCGGGGUUCGAAUCCCCGAUGGAUCACCA